GAGUAUCUAGUUUAAUCUUCCGCAAAACACUAGAUUGUCAAACUAGAGAUACUUUUAAUAAUAAGUGAUCCUCU
rnacentral:tRNA from 1 species